GGAGAUUUAAAACCAACUUGGAAUUCCACAGCCUUACUUUAUGUAAGCUAGUUGGCACAUCUGGAUAUUGGGAUAUUGAUCUCUGAGGAUUGGAGUCAAAAAUUAUCAGAAGAAUGUUGAAUCUUGCAGAGGAAGCUGCCACCCAAGAAUUGCUGGAAUAUAAUUUGGAAGAUGUGAAAUGGCAGCUACUGAGCAAUUUAUGGCUAGACUGGAUAACUGCUUUAAUUAGAGCCUGCCCGAUGUUGAUGUACUUGUAGAAAUGGUUUAUCUGUAUAGCUGAGAACAUGACUCAAGGGAGAGUUUCCUGCUGCUGAAGUCGUUCAAGUCAGGUAAGUCUUAAACCUGUCUAAUAAAUUCCACUGUGAGAAUGGGGUACCACCUUAAGUCAUGUGUGUUCAAGCUUGUGGCUUGUCUGGGCUGCAUUUAGUGAAGAGCAAUUGUCUAGGGCCAUUA